GCUGUUGGAAGAGGAGCAAACAGUGUGGUAUCUAUGGUCCACCAUCACUUCAAGCAUCAUGGCUAUGGAUAAAAGAAGGUUUCAUUACAUAUGGACAAUUAUAUUGGACAAAAUAAGAAAAGUGUUCUAAUAAGUUCUGGAAUGUGGCUUGAUAUGAUGGGUCUACAUGAUUGACUUGGAGUACAACCUGAUGGAGGCCGGGCUUGCAGAAUUCAGUCCUGAACAUGUUUAUAAUGUCUUCUGCAUGACCUAGUAUAGUAUUCUUGAAGGAUAAUUACUUCAACACAGAGACAGAGAUUAAUAUUUUAGGCAGGGGAUUGGCAUGACAGGCAAAUUCUCCAACCGUAUUACCAUUCCUGAGCUGGAUACCAGUCGACAGUGGUACCUGUAUAAUGAAAUAGGGCCCCUUUGCAGCAACAGCAAUGUAUGCUCAAAACUAGCAGUGCCAAAGCCAUUAAAAUUGAGAACUCAGUCAUUUAAAACGAAGAAUGAAUGGAAAAAAGUGUUUAACAUUUAAAGUAAUACAGAGAAAGAGCUUAGCUCAUUUGGUAUUUUGUGAAAUUUUAAUUAAUUUGAAAG